rnacentral:rRNA from 1 species
UACGGAGGGGGCAAGCGUUGUUCGGAAUUACUGGGCGUAAAGCGCACGUAGGCGGACUGGUCAGUUGGGGGUGAAAUCCCGAGGCUUGAACCUCGGAACUGCUUCAAUACUGCCAGUCUUGAGAUCGGAAGAGGUGAGUGGAAUUCCUAGUGUAGAGGUGAAAUUCGUAGAUAUUAGGAAGAACACCAGUGGCGAAGGCGGACU